UGAGGAAUAUUGGACAAUGGGUGGAAGCCUGAUCCAGCCAUCCCGCGUGAAGGAUGACGGUCCUAUGGAUUGUAAACUUCUUUUGUACAGGGAUAAACCUGCCCUCGUGAGGGCAGCUGAAGGUACUGUACGAAUAAGCACCGGCUAACUCCGUGCCAGCAGCCGCGGUAAUACGGAGGGUGCGAGCGUUAUCCGGAUUUCUUGGGUUUAAAGGGUCCGUAGGCGGGCCUGUAAGUCAGUGGUGAAAUCUCAUAGCUUAACUAUGAAACUGCCAUUGAUACUGCAGGCCUUGAGUAAAUUUGAAGUGGCUGGAAUAAGUAGUGUAGCGGUGAAAUGCAUAGAUAUUACUUAGAACACCGAUUGCGAAGGCAGGUCACUAAGAUUUAACUGACGCUGAUGGACGAAAGCGUGGGGAGCGAACA
rnacentral:rRNA from 1 species